rnacentral:lncRNA from 1 species
CUUCCAUUGUAACCUCUAUGAUACACUCAUCAUUCUAAGUGAGCUCUCGAAUGUCAAGAACAUUCCUGAAAGACGCACACAUCCAUCCUGGCAGAUAAUACCUAAGCAAACAAAUAUAUGUUUUUAAUUCCCAUCAAAUAGGGCAAUUUAAAGGUGAAAUAAGAGAUAGCAGUGCCAUUCACAGAAAAUCAAUCACUCUCAAUAUGCUUGCUAUCACUCCAAGGAUGUUUGCCAGACAAAUUAGGAAAUUAAAAAGGCAUUCUGGCUUAUUUGCCAUUAUUAAACAGUACCCUUAUUCCAGUCUUUACCUAACGAUUACUGAUAAGAGCAGAAUAUUUAUAGGAGAGAGGCACAGGUAAGAGUUGGGCAGCAGCACUGCAGGCAACAGCUGAGAGAACUUUCACUUGUCCCAGAGUAGCGUCUUUCGAAACGUUUUAAGGGAAGCAUCAUGGCUUUGCUGAUGGCUGGACUGUGGCAGCUAGCUACUGUGGUGAUGAUCUUGUCUCACAUCUCAGCAUCACUUCCUUCUCUUGGGAGGCACCAGAGGCAAAUCGAGCUCAAAUUGAUGCAUGAUGCAGGAAUGAGAAGAGAAUAUGAGAAAGCUGCCAAAUUACUACAAAACCUGAUGAACUACAAGCGCAGUUUUUCAGGCAAUGAUGCAGAGGAAGCCACUCAGAUAAUGAGCCGCUCGGUUUGCCAACUGAUUGCAGAAAUAAAUGAAGCAGUAUCUGGAGCAACAGUAGAUGAAAAUCAGGAAUGAAGCAUCCAGCUCUGUGAGGAUCUUCAAAAAAAUAAAUUGCAACUUCUGUUUUUCAUGUGUGGAUUAAAUGAUUGGGGAAAACAAACUGUGGAAAUAAGUUAGUAAGGAUUGCAUAAAUCAAAAGGAAUGGGACUUAGAAUGAAAGACUCUGGCAUUUAUACGCCUUAUGGUAGAGUCUAAAAUUAUUUAUCUUCCUCUUGUCUUCAUCUUCUCCAAAAUCAAAUAAAGAAACUAUAGCACAGC